GGGGUUGUAACUCAGGGGUAGAGUGCCUGCUUUGCAUGUAAGCUUAACUGCAGGAAGGCCGGGGUUCAAAUCCCCGCAGCUCCA
rfam:Cladophialophora carrionii strain KSF Contig1660, whole genome shotgun sequence.